UACGUAGGGACCAAGCGUUGUUCGGAUUUACUGGGCGUAAAGGGCGCGUAGGCGGCAAUUCAAGUCAGCUGUGAAAUCUCCGAGCUUAACUCGGAACGGUCAGCUGAUACUGUUUUGCUAGAGUACAGAAGGGGCAAUCGGAAUUCUUGGUGUAGCGGUGAAAUGCGUAGAUAUCAAGAGGAACACCUGAGGUGAAGACGGGUUGCUGGGCUGAUACUGACGCUGAGGCGCGAAAGCUAGGGGUAGCAAACGGG
rnacentral:rRNA from 1 species